GUCAUGAUCGAGGCCGUGCAGCACAUGACGUCCAUGGCGAUGAAGACGUUACAGAAAAAGUGGCCAAAGAUCCACUUGCCCCCGAUGAGGUCGGUGACGCUGACGAAGGGCAUGACCGCCACGGCCACUGAGAGGUCGGCCAGCGCCAGGGACACGAUCAGGCCCUAGCGGAUUAUAAAUAAGAAGAAAAGGAAUAAAAAUCUCAAAGUAUAUUGAUCAGAGUGCUGAAUAGUACUUCCAUUCUUCAAGUUAUCUGUGGUGAACCAUGGUCCGAAAAUAUUAAAUGGAAAAUUUCAGAAAUAAACAAUGUGUAAGUUGUUAAUUGCACACUAUUCUGAGUAGUGUGAUGAAAUCUCUGUCUUACCCAGGAUAUGAAUCAUCCCUUGUCCAACAUAUCCACACUGUAUAUACCACCCACCAUUAGUCACUUAG